AGAGUUUGAUCCUGGCUCAGAUUGAACGCUGGCGGCAUGCCUUACACAUGCAAGUCGAACGGCAGCACGGGGGCAACCCUGGUGGCGAGUGGCGAACGGGUGAGUAAUACAUCGGAACGUGUCCUGUAGUGGGGGAUAGCCCGGCGAAAGCCGGAUUAAUACCGCAUACGAUCUACGGAAGAAAGCGGGGGAUCCUUCGGGACCUCGCGCUAUAGGGGCGGCCGAUGGCAGAUUAGCUAGUUGGUGGGGUAAAGGCCUACCAAGGCGACGAUCUGUAGCUGGUCUGAGAGGACGACCAGCCACACUGGGACUGAGACACGGCCCAGACUCCUACGGGAGGCAGCAGUGGGGAAUUUUGGACAAUGGGGGAAACCCUGAUCCAGCAAUGCCGCGUGUGUGAAGAAGGCCUUCGGGUUGUAAAGCACUUUUGUCCGGAAAGAAAACUUCUGCCCUAAUACGGUGGGAGGAUGACGGUACCGGAAGAAUAAGCACCGGCUAACUACGUGCCAGCAGCCGCGGUAAUACGUAGGGUGCGAGCGUUAAUCGGAAUUACUGGGCGUAAAGCGUGCGCAGGCGGUUCGUUAAGACAGAUGUGAAAUCCCCGGGCUUAACCUGGGAACUGCAUUUGUGACUGGCGAGCUAGAGUAUGGCAGAGGGGGGUAGAAUUCCACGUGUAGCAGUGAAAUGCGUAGAGAUGUGGAGGAAUACCGAUGGCGAAAGGCAGCCCCCUGGGCCAAUACUGACGCUCAUGCACGAAAGCGUGGGGAGCAAACAGAUUAGAUACCCUGGUAGUCCACGCCCUAAACGAUGUCAACUAGUUGUUGGGUCUUCAUUGACUUAGUAACGUAGCUAACGCGUGAAGUUGACCGCCUGGGGGAGUACGGUCGCAAGAUUAAAACUCAAAGGAGUUGACCGGGGACCCCCCACAG
rnacentral:rRNA from 1 species